rnacentral:rRNA from 1 species
AUUGAACGCUGGCGGCAGGCCUAACACAUGCAAGUCGAGCGGAUGAGAGGAGCUUGCUUCUCGAUUCAGCGGCGGACGGGUGAGUAAUGCCUAGGAAUCUGCCUGGUAGUGGGGGACAACGUUUCGAAAGGAACGCUAAUACCGCAUACGUCCUACGGGAGAAAGCAGGGGACCUUCGGGCCUUGCGCUAUCAGAUGAGCCUAGGUCGGAUUAGCUAGUUGGUGAGGUAAUGGCUCACUAAGGCGACGAUCCGUAACUGGUCUGAGAGGAUGAUCAGUCACACUGGAACUGAGACACGGUCCAGACUCCUACGGGAGGCAGCAGUGGGGAAUAUUGGACAAUGGGCGAAAGCCUGAUCCAGUCAUGCCGCGUGUGUGAAGAAGGUCUUCGGAUUGUAAAGCACUUUAAGUUGGGAGGAAGGGUUGUAGAUUAAUACUCUGCAAUUUUGACGUUACCGACAGAAUAAGCACCGGCUAACUCUGUGCCAGCCGCCGCCGUAAAAC